CUUGUACACACCGCCCGUCACACCAUGGGGGUGGGUUUCACCAGAAGUAGGUAGUCUAACCGCAAGGAGGACGCUUACCACGGUGAGAUUCAUGACUGGGGUG
rnacentral:rRNA from 1 species